rnacentral:miRNA from 1 species
CAUAGGGACACAUAUUUUGGACAC